ACAGGAGUCAACACACAGCACCAGCCUCAAGCAUUUACUCAGUCUGGGGUGUUAGGCACAGGAAAACUAGCAACAUCCUUCCUCUAGCCAAGGACCUUGUAAUCUUGUUAGAGAGACAAGAAUCUGGGCUCUUAAACAAUCAACGUCCUGUAUAAGGGACAAAAAGGGAAGACACAGGGAACAAAUAAAAGCCAUUUCCUUUUUGAGAACUUUCUUACCUCCAGAACACAAGGAAGUGGGCUUUGGCAAUGAUCUCGGCAGAAACCUCAGCCACAGACCACUGGGCGAUCAAGAAUGCUGCUGUGGCUUCCUGGGGACCCACAGCGCCUGUCCACAUGGAUCAAAUAACUCAAGUGAGUCAAACUUCCUCUCCCUGAACUGUGCAGACGUGGCCCCAGGCUUGGAGGCUUCUGGAAACCCUCAGAUGUCGAGUAUCGACUGGACAGAGCAUCCAGGUGUCCGGCUGAACUUUUCUGUAUUCACGCAGAUGUUCUAAGUCACAGGCAGUGGACGGAGUUCCUUGGAAUACUCACAAGGCCUCAGUCGUUACAGGAGCUGGAUCCUCUCCAGUGGAAGAGACAUUUUUUGUGGACCAGAGACCUGAGAGAGAAGCAGAAAGAAGUGUUCAGCAACGUGCUGGGGGCCCGCAUCCUAGGGAUGAAUCAUGCCAGUGAUUGGUUUGGGGUGGCCAUGUGACCCAGGUCUGGCCAGUGAAAUGGAAGGGAAAGUCUUUGGGGUAGAGCUGGACCACUGGGAAACAUUUUCCUCUCUGACAAACUAAAGAGUGACGUUAGGAGAAGACUUUCUUUGCUUCAUGUUUUGCAUGCUGUCGUGUGUUUUCAAGCACCCAUGGCCUCUUUUUUCUCUCUAAUCUUACCUUCUAUGACAUUCCUCCUCCAUCACACCAAUCCAGCUACUGGUCUCCUUGCUUCCCUAGAACAUACUAAGAACACACCUGCCUCAGGGCCUUUGCACUUGCUAUUCCCCCCCACCUAGAACACCCUUCCUCCAGAUCUUCACUGGAUUUUUCUUUCACAUCUUCAGGUCUUUGUUCAAAUAUCAGCUUCUCAGUGAGGAUAUUUUAAAAAUAUCCUUAUCCUUCUCAUUACCUUUAUUCUUUUUAUUGUUUUCUAUAACAUGUCACUAAUAUAC
rnacentral:lncRNA from 1 species